rnacentral:lncRNA from 1 species
UAGCCAAAGCAAGACUAAGCAAAAAGAACAAAUCUUGAGACAUCACUAAUCAGGGAAAUGGAAAUUAAAACCAAAAUGAGAUACCACCUAAUUCCUGUAAGAAUGGCCAUAAUUUAAAAAUAAAAAAAUAAUAGAUGUUGGCAUGGAUGUGGUAAAAAAAAAAAAAAAAAAAAAACACUUUUACACUGCUGGUAGGAAUGUUAAUUAGUACAACCACUAUGGAAAACAGUAUGGAG